rnacentral:snoRNA from 1 species
AGCCCUAUUGAUGAACGUUAUAUAUCAAAUUAAAAGUAGUGGACUGAUCUCCAUUGAUGAUAAUCUUGUUCUGAAGGGUU